AACACAUAAACUUCUGCUUCUUCUUCCACCUCUAGCCGAUGUCAUGGUGCCGUUCUGAUGCAGUGCAACAAUUUUAAUCCUCACCCACCACCACCAGGCGCGCGCACCGCAAACCAAAAUUCGUAGCCGCUGUGUCUUAUAGGCCGAGCGCGCCGAGCGGCGUCUUGCCCUGUCCGGCCUCGAAGUAGAAGAUGAGCAUGGCGAGCAUGGCGAGGCGCGCGUGCUUGAUCUCGGCCAGCUUCAGCCGCUCGAGCUUGUCGGUGUCGGGGAUGUAGACGCCGUCCUUGGUGUCGCCGCCGAGUCCGAGCGGGUCGAAGAACUUGCCGCCGGGGUAUCCUUGAUCGCCCGUGGA
rnacentral:lncRNA from 1 species